rnacentral:rRNA from 1 species
UACGUAGGGUGCAAGCGUUGUCCGGAAUUAUUGGGCGUAAAGAGCUCGUAGGCGGUCUGUCGCGUCUGCUGUGAAAACUCAGGGCUUAACCCUGAGCUUGCAGUGGGUACGGGCAGACUAGAGUGCGGUAGGGGAGACUGGAAUUCCUGGUGUAGCGGUGAAAUGCGCAGAUAUCGAGGAGGAACACCGGUGGCGAAGGCGGGUCUCUGGGCCGUAACUGACGCUGGAGGAGCGAAAGCGUGGGAGCAAACAGG